AAGGUCUUCGGAUUGUAAAGCUCUUUUGUUAGGGAAGAAAAGUCUGUGUUAAUAGCACCAGACGCUGACGUGUACCUAAAGAAUAAGUGAUCGGCUAACUACGUGCCAGCAGCCGCGGUAAUA
rnacentral:rRNA from 1 species